GUUCUGGAGUCUCUGCUGUUUGCCUCAUGGUGAUCACAAGACUAGGGAUUCCCAGAAUGUUGAACUAUUCUUUCAAUCAAGUUUAUCAGCAUCCACAAAAAUAUUGGCUUGAGCGAGGUAGGGAACUUGUACCUCAUAAGAUAAAUAAUGAUCAUUCCACUCAUUUAUAGAGAGAGGCUGGCAUUCAAAACAAUACAGUGAAGAAUUUACUAUGUAGAUGUUUUUCACAAGUCCAGACUCUGGAGUACUAUUGAUGACAUUACAAAUAACCAAAGUUUUCUCACAUCUACACUUAUUUCCAUGUUGCAUUAUCCACUUUACCGAAACUAUAUGUUGAAGGUUCUGUAUUUCUAAGAAGUCUUUAAUCUUUCCUUCUACGUAGUGAACAUUUUGAACCUCAGAGACUGGGCCGAUAUCAACUUCACUUGAAAAAAUUGGAUGUGUCUCAUGCACAUUCUGACUACAUUCAUGCAUGCUCUUUAACAAAACCAGCAUCUGCCCUGCUGACUGUUUCAGUUUAUUGUCAUUUGAUGACAGUGUAUUGACCGAUAUGGGGCAAGGCUUAUCUCUUACAUCCAAAAGAGAGUAAAGGAUAACAAUAAUUGCACUGUUGAAUGCGUCUAACUCCAUAUGCUCUGAAAGCACAAAAUGGUUUAAAACACAUUUGAUUUCAUAUGGGGCAACACCUUCAAGAAUAAUAUGCAUGAUGUCUUGUGGAGUUUGAUUAUAUCAAAGUGAGGAAAUUCUGUUAAUUUGCUUCUCCUAUUAAUACCAUAUAAUACCAAGAUUUUCUUUCAGAAAGUCAGUGCUUGCUUUUUUAAUGUCUCUACAUUGUCGAUAUGACUUGUCAUGGUCCUUUUAACAAACAAAUCUUCAUUCAAUUGUUCCUGCAUGUCGUCAAAGUUGCAUUCAAGUGUCUGCAUUUACUGUAAGCAAACCCUACUCCUUCCUUAAAUCCAGCCACUUCAUGUUGAGCUAGAGUGUCUCCACACACAGUCAUAAGCGCCCCAAAAAUUGUCUUCUCACCAUUUGCAGUGACAACUUUUAACACUAUCAUACAGCUCAAUCAAGUCACAAUUAAUGCUCUCAAGCACCUUAUCAAUACCACAAUCAGAAAUAUCUUUUGAUUUUACCAUGGCAAGCAGACGAAUGGCAGCAAGUCUUGAUCUGUAUUUAGGGUUGAUGUUACCUAAGGUGUAAUAAAUCAAUAACAAUUUGUUUUUGCUUGCCCGAGAUCCAAGAGGAUUGCACAAUUCAAUUUCAUUUGUAUAUAAAAUGAAUUGCAAUGCUGUGGGGACUCUCAAAAACAGUGGGUGUGAUUUAAAAAUGUCUCCAUCGAUACAAUCGUGAAAAAAUCCAUCCCGGCAUGGCUGUGGCCCCUGAUCAAUCAUUGCAAGAACUCUUGGAUGCAUUAACAGCUGUUCCAAACUUCAACAAUGGUAUAUAAUAAAAGUAAUGGUGUUCAAUGGUAAGAACUCUCAUAACAUACCGUAUUUUUUUAUAUAAUCGUCUCUGGUUCAACUGGCUGUAACAGUUCUUUGAUUGUUUUAUCCUGCAAAUGUGUUGUAGCGAUUUGACUGAAAGGAUCAUUAAACUGGUCAAAUACUCCCAUCACAUCACUCUUCAGUUGACCAAGGUCCCCAGAAUGUGUCUGAAUCAUGUUAAGUUAUACACUCAUAUAGUCACUAGGACAGCCAUCAAUGCCACACACUAUGCGAAAGUCAGGGCUGCGACUGUGUAAAGAGUUGAUGUGACUCAAUGUUUUUCAGUGUAAACGCCACAAAAAUGUAGCAUAUGAAACAACGGCAGAUCAUCUUGGAGGAGCAAGGUUCCUAACGUUAAGGCGAGUGCAGCAAGCCAACACGUUAUAUCCAGCCCGGGAGAAAUUACCGGUAGUUUAUCAAGUUCUUAUUUAGUUAUCUUUACAGAAUAAUUCAUCUGAAAUGGGCAACAAUUUAGUCAAGCUAUACACAAAUAUAACACAUUCCUAAAAACACUCAAAAACUAGUUGUUUUUAAUUAAUUUGAAAAAAUUAAUUAAUGCCAUAAACCCCUGUUUUGUAAAUGGUAGCAGUCUACGGCUCAGCAGUGGGCAGGCUGUCCCGCUAUUUUACGUUAGUCCUCAUUAAAGAUUAAACAAAAAAGAGAGAGGACCCACUCCACUACUAUUUCCGUCUCUGAAAAACAACGCGUUUUAUUCAAAAUCUGAGCAUAAUACAGUGAGCAUAAUACAGUCACUAGUUCUUUGAAGGAGUGAGACGUCUUACUCGUUUGUCGUGUCUGUUGAAAGUUGGGCAUGCGCAGUACGGAACACAGACGGCUCACUGGAGGGAACGUUACAGGUGCGUAAUUAAGCUGCCUCGUCCGAGACGGUUUGAAUUCGUAUUUCAUUGCAGGUUAAGUUGUAUCGAAUAUCUCAGUUUUUUUAGUCCAAUACAUUUUAAAUAUUAUAUUUAAUAUUAUUUGUUGUGUACACUGUUGCAGCCGAGCACAAGCUAACGUUAGCUAGCUAUCUUGCUAGCUAACGUUAGCUAACGUUAUUUAACUUGCUAGCUAAAACUGCUAACAGCAUGGACGAACUUGAUGACGUCACGGUGUCGACUUUAAGAGGUAACGUAGUCAAAUAUACAUUUUUAACGUGGUUAUUAAUUUUUCGUCAUAUUUAAUAUGCACCAGUAACACCAAGAAAAAUCCCUUGUAAGUAAAAACCUACUUUGCAAUACUUAUGAUUCAUCAGAGAGGUUAAGAUCAGCUAAAUUUAAACAGAUUAAGACUUGCAGUCCUCUCUAUAAAAUCGGUAGUAACUCUUAAUUCUGAACAGAUUUGAAUGGAAUGGUUUUAUUAUAAAUUGGAUAAAUUUAACUUUAUACUGGUUACGUGUUUCAAUUAAAUCCAGUUACUGGGGUGGAUCUACUCUGUUCUAUUAUACUAAAACAUUCGGAAUAACCACAACUUAAAAUAUAAAUUAUUUAGAAUGUAUGCUUUUAUGAGUUUCUAAAAAAUGUAGAUUGCUAUAUACAUUCAGUAAAUUUGAAUUAAAAUUGCUUCAGAAUUAAGAGAGUUACGACUGAUUAAAAUGUUUAAUUUACCACUCUGAUGUGAUGCAUAAUCCACUGAGGUAUGUCAUUUCUUUAUCUAUUGUUAUAUCAUGUGUAUUUACAUUUUUUGAUGAUGAAGUAAGUUUAUUCAUUUUCUGCUUGUUUAGUAAGUAUUUAUAUCCAACACCAUAAGGCAAUCACUAAACCUACCUUCAUUAUCACUAAAAGGAGAAUAUUAACACAAACUAUUUAGGAUUAUUGUUAUAACCUUAGUGGAGUUGUCAAUGCUGCAUCACAAUUUGUGUUAAGACAGUAUAAAUUAAAAGUUGCUUUUACAAAUACUUAAUUAUCUUUUAUUUUACAGGAAACUGUAGACUCAAAAUCAACGAGCAGUUCUACUUCUAUGAUUGGGUCACCCCUAUCUCAGACAUCCACUCAAGUAAAAAGAUGUCCUGCAAAGCACACAACACCUGAAAAUGUUGUUGAGUUAUCCUUCCCAGAAUAUGUAUUGCACACUGACACCAAACUAGAGCAAUGCCCAAAAACAAUAUUUUGAGUUGGCGAGGGCCGGCGAAGAGAGAAACUGCCAAAUGUCAAAGGACCUCAGAUGUCGGCUCAUCCGAAACACCAUGACCAGUAUGAUCGCAAUCCUGAGGGCAACGGGGGACAGAGACAGAUACCCGUCAUAGCCAGAAAUAACAGCUAUGGCAAAGCGAACAGUGCUGUACUACCCCAUGCUGCAGGACCGAGACCUGAGCAGCAAGUAUGCAUGGGUAGGUCAAAUGCAUCCAGGUGCAUGUUUGAUGUUUGAAGCAUUUAUUUGAAUUUUUCUUGUCACAGGUUACUGUGUACUCACAGCUAUACAAAAGAUUGAAAAAUUUGAGAUCACCCCAAAAGACCAAUCCAAAGAGGCGCCGACUCGAGGAGCCAAAGUGCCAACCUGACUGACCCAGAUGAAUUUGAUUCAAGUGACUCAACAGUCAUUCUGGAUCUCCCCUCAAAAGGGGGGCAGCAUUCAAGCAUUCAAGACUUCCCUUCUGAAGGGAGUAGCACCCCAGACUCGGGCAGCAAUGCCAGAUAUGCCCGCAUCUUUGCGUAAGAAGAAAACUCCAAACCGUGAGUCCGUCUCUCAGCUCCUGGAUUUGGAAUUUUCAGCCAGAAGAGCAUUCAUUGACUCUGAUUCUUUUUGCGAGGAGGACAGACACAAGAAAAUUCCAGAGGACAUUGGACAUGUGAUGGGGGAGCUUCAACGCAUUCUGGACAAAAAUAACAUCCAUUACAUUGAUGAGCUGAAGGGAAGAUGGGACGACUUCUGCCAGAAGGUGCAGUUUUUUGGUGUGUGGAAAAAGCUGCUGAAACCCUCAGUAGGAAUGGACAAAGGCUCUCAGUAUCCUACGUGUGCUGCCUUCAUUGUUCCCCUCUUCAUCUGCUCCUCUGAAGAAGUUAGGACAUGUGAGUGAGGCUCUUGUGCAUGUCCUCGAGGAAAAAGAAGACCCCAAUGACUAUCUGAAGAAACGUCGUCUCUCCUGCCCAGUCCUUAUUGUGAGUUUGUCCAACUGCCUCCUGGCUGUAGGAGAUGUGCUGAUAACUACGCUCCCAAAAGACAAGGUAACACAGGGUGUUUUAUACCUUACGGCCUACUAUUAUGCUCUACACCUUACUUACCCCAGGUGCGUAGCCACUCUGCUCUCUGUCAUAAAAACGGAGGUUCUCUUGGACACAAUCCAUGAGCGAGACCUCACACCAUCUUUCAAGAAGGGCAUGGCUGACUGGAAAGCCUUUGUUGGCAAGUAAAGCCGUUUCCAUUCUUAUUUAGCAAAUGUUUCCCAAUGUUAAGGUCGCAAUAAUAACAAUGUUGUUGAUCUAUUGAGGGACACAGUGGUCAAAUAUUUAUGUUAAUGUUAGCCCAAGACCCAUAACUUGUUGCAAUAAUAAGCACAUUGUAAGUGUAUUGAGGAGACAGAGGUCAGAUGAUUAUGUCUGACUGUAAUCCAUGUGUUACACAUAUAUGUCAUGUUUUGCUAUGUUUUUUUACUAUUAUUAGUAUUUUAUUACAGUGCCAUACACACUGCGCCAAAACAUGACUGGUGCUGCAGGCACAGUGUAACUGACUAACUGCACUGUAUUGUAAGAAUUGUUUGCUCCCUCCUGCAUUUCAGAGCUAAAGAGGCAUGCUCUUUCUUAUGCAAAUAAAAUAUUUGUUUGUUUAAUGCA